rnacentral:rRNA from 1 species
AUCCUGACGGUGCUGGAAGGCUCGCUCUAUGUUGGUUUUGUCACCUCCAACCCCGAGAACAAGUUGUUCUCGAAAGUUCUGAACAAAGGAGACGUGUUUGUGUUUCCGCAAGGUCUUAUUCACUUUCAGUUCAACAUUGGAGCCAACAAAGCGAUAGCCAUUGCGGCGCUGAGCAGCAAGAACCCUGGAGUAAUCACCAUAGCCAAUGCAGCGUUUGGAUCCAAGCCAUCCAUCUCAGAUGAUAUCCUUGCCAAAGCAUUCCAGGUGGACAAGAAAAUUGUAGGCCGUAUCCAAGCUCAAUUCUAG